CACUUUGAAGCGGUGAGGUCAAAACGAAUGUGAAAACUGAAAGUAACCUCAGCUCAGACAUAACUACGAAAGGUUGGAGAGGCUGUAAUAAGUAAAUCUAGCUUUCCUCUUUUACGUGUUUCACAGGAUGGAUUUUAUUUCCGCUAGAAUUGAACAAUGCACACCUGAUUUUUUCUGGAAACACAGGUUUACGACCAAGGUUUAUGUCGAAAAUCGCGGUAACAUCAAGAACGUUUGUGAUGAAAUCAUUGAACGUCUGUCUAAAUUCCCGAACAGUAUCAGUGUGAGUAAUGAGGAGAAGUGCGAUGUGAAAGUGGUCUUCUGUCCGAUCGUCUCUCGCGCAGGAACCGACAUCGAAGCGGUUCUGUCCCGCCUCACGGAUGGUAAGAAAACCAUAGUGGUAGUACUUCACCACACCUUCAGCACUGACUACAUUCCACCAAGCAGCAGUCGGUAUGAAAGGAAAGAUUUGAAGAUGGUGGACAUGUUGUUCCAUGAGGACUCGGGACUGCUGAACUGUUCAAAGAAUAAUGAAGCAAUCAGCACGGCAGGAAAUUGGCUAAAGAUAUGCAGCAAAUAUCAGCGUGGUGUAUGUCGCGAGCGUGUCUGGGCUGUGGCUGUGGCUGCAGUUGCAGGAUAUAUUGGAUAUAGGUUUUUGUACAGAAAAUGGACGGGACACUGGCUCUUGCAAUCAGAGAUCCGGUUUAUCAAUUUUGUGAUCAGGAUGAGGACCAAAACAAAUGUGUACAUUUUAAUUAAUUAACAUUUAAUAAUACAGUGAACAAAACAAGGAUUUUUUUUUUUAAAUUAUUAUCUCGAAGCAAUAGCUUAUUCCAAGUAUGAAUAUACCAAGUGUGACUAGUUUGUUUGAGUGUUUUCAUAAAGUUGAACAAAAAAAACAACCAUUAUAUUUGUUUGUAUUUGUGCUUGGAGUUUGUGUUUACAGACAGUAUUGACAGGAUAGUUUGGAUACAGGAUAGGAUAGAUACAGCGUUUUUUCCAUACAAUGGAUAAUGCAUAAUACAUGAUAGAUAAUGCAUCUCACGACAAUAAUGGGUUUUCCAAUUUCCUCCUCCCCCACAAAAACAGACCAGUAGACGGACAGGUUAAGAGUAAUUGCCCCUAAAUUUAAACACUGUAAAAUUGUAUAAAUUUAACAGUCAAAUACUAGAUAGAAACCAUGACCAUGUGAGUUAAUAUUUGACUACCAGUUAGAUUUAGAGUUAGUUACUGUACGUACAAAAAAAAAAAAAAACCUAGGUCAUAUCUGUAGGCAUUAGGGGCUUGCAUGCUCUACUACUUAUACACUUGAUAAUCUGUGGUUCCUGUUUAUCUGCAUAUUGGUGCAUUUCCCUGUACUCCAGAUCUCUGUUAUUUAUGUCCUGUAUUACUGCUUUGCUGAGUAAUAAAUAAUUUGCUAAGUCAUGAGUAUGUGGGUUUUCACUUAGUAAGAAAUAGUGAAGAAAAUGUGACUUCUCUCCAAGCCACUAGGUGUCAGCAUUUUGUUUAACAAGCCUUAAAGGACUACCCAGGUCCUGUUAUGAAGGACCUUACUGACUAAAUUAAAUAAUAAUAAUAAAAUAUAUAUAUAUAUAAUAUCAUAUUUUGUUAUACACAUGUAUAACUCAUAAAGCAUAUUAAUAAUUUCAUUAUGAAUUUCAGUGAUUAUUUAAUUAAAUCAUGAAAUUGAAACAAAUUAAUUAAACUACAGAAGGAUUAGUGACUGGUCGAGUGUUUCUUAGACUCUUAGACUUAGAAUGAAUGUAUUGCAAUUUCUUCAGAAGAAA
ensembl:lncRNA